GAUGAAGAACGUAGCGAAAUGCGAUACUUGGUGUGAAUUGCAGAAUCCCGUGAACCAUCGAGUCUUUGAACGCAAGUUGUGCCCGAAGCCAUUAGGCCGAGGGCACGCCUGCCUGGGCGUCACACGUCGUUGCCCCCCUCAUCUACUCCUUCGGGAUUGCGGGGGGCGGAUGAUGGCCUCCCGUGCGCCUCGCCGCGCGGUUGGCAUAAAUGCCAAGUCCUCGGCGACGCACGCCACGACAAUCGGUGGUUGCGAAACCUCGGUUGCCCGUCGUGUGCGGUCGUCGCGCAUCGAGGGCUCGAAAAAAUUGCCGAGUUCCGGCUCGGCUUUCAACGCGACCCCAGGUCAGGCGGGGUUACCCGCUGAAUUUAAGCAUAUCAAUAAGCGGAGGA
rnacentral:misc_RNA from 1 species